rnacentral:rRNA from 1 species
UACGGAGGGUGCGAGCGUUGUUCGGAAUCACUGGGCGUAAAGGGCGUGUAGGCGGUCCGCUAAGUCUGAUGUGAAAGCCCGGGGCUCACCCCCGGAAGGGCAUUGGAAACUGACGGACUCGAGUCCCGAAGAGGAGGGUGGAAUUCCUGGUGUAGCGGUGAAAUGCGUAGAUAUCAGGAAGAACACCAAUGGCGAAGGCAGCUCUCUGGGACGGUACUGACGCUGAGACGCGAAAGCGUGGGGAGCGAACAGG